AUUCGAGAAAUCGCGAAAAACGUUUUAAAAUAAUGCGUUGUGUAGUGAAGUUUUGUGGCAGCAACCUGUAUUUGCCGAAAAGUGAUGAAGUUUCAUCGACACACAGAUUCCCCAUAAAUCCUGUUCGAGCGCAACAGAGGUGAGCUGCUUUGGCUUCUGAUAUAGAACAGGAGAACAUGGAAGUGUUCGAAUCUGUGCGGCCCAUUCUACAGAAUCAGAUUCUUCCUUCAGCACAAAUGGCAAGCGAAAGUUACAGAGUAAUGCUAUUCCCAGGGUGUUUCCGGAGCAGAAUGAAAAGAUUUUACCGCUUAGAGAUAUUUGCAACUUAGUGCCGGUUGCCAUAGUUGAUCGACCGGAUGAUUGUUUACCACCCUCCAUGACAAUCGUAAAGCAAUCUGUAGAUCAGAAUGACUGUUCCACAACAGAGGUGAAGAAGGUUCUGCCAUUGAAUAUUUGCUCCGCUGACGCAUGUCUCGCCGUGGUUGGAUCAAGUAACGGAGAGCGCCGUCCAAAGUGAAAUGCACUUAGUUUUUAAUGUUUAUUUUUAAGCAUUUUUGUAAAUAUUUUGUAGGAUAAGGUACGCAGGUGAUAUCAAAGAUAGCUCUAACUUAACACCGAAUCAAGCCGUAGAAAUACUUCCUAAG